UCGCGAAAACUUCACAGUGGGGGCAACCCCGAUGAGGGAAUUCCUAGUGCUAGCACAUUUGUGUUAGCUUUUCUUUAGCUUAGAAAACUAGAGGAAUAAGGGCUGGGUAAGACGGGUGCCAGCCGCCGCGGUAAUACCUGCAGCCCAAGUGGUGGUCGAUUUUAUUGAGUCUAAAACGUUCGUAGCCGGUUCGGUAAAUCUUUGGGUAAAUCGGGGGGCUUAACCUUCCGACUUCCGAGGAGACUGCCGAACUUGGGACCGGGAGAGGCUAGAGGUACUUCUGGGGUAGGGGUAAAAUCCUGUAAUCCUAGAAGGACCACCGGUGGCGAAGGCGUCUAGCUGGAACGGAUCCGACGGUGAGGGACGAAGCCCUGGGUCGCAAACGGGAUUAGAUACCCCGGUAGUCCAGGGUGUAAACGCUGCAGACUUGGUGUUGGAGGCCCUUUGGGGGCAUUCAGUGCCGGAGAGAAGUUGUUAAGUCUGCUACUUGGGGAGUACGUCCGCAAGGAUGAAACUUAAAGGAAUUGGCGGGGGGGCACCGCAACGGGAGGAGCGUGCGGUUUAAUUGGAUUCAACACCGUAAAACUCACCAGGGAAGACUGUUACAUGAAGGCCGGGCUAAAGACUCUGCCAGAUUUUCA
rnacentral:rRNA from 1 species